UACAGAGGUCUCAAGCGUUGUUCGGAUUCAUUGGGCGUAAAGGGUGCGUAGGCGGCGCGGUAAGUCGGGUGUGAAAUCUCGGAGCUUAACUCCGAAACUGCAUUCGAUACUGCCGUGCUUGAGGACUGGAGAGGAGACUGGAAUUUACGGUGUAGCGGUGAAGUGCGUAGAUAUCGGGAGGAACACCUGUGGCGAAAGCGGCGCACUGGACCACAUCUGACGCUGAGGCGCGAAAGCUAGGGGAGCAAACAGG
rnacentral:rRNA from 1 species